GGGUCAGUAGGUUGGUCGUGCCACCGGUACGUACUGGUCUCACUGAUUCCUCCUUCCUGAAGAACCGUAAUGCCAUUAAUUUGGUGUUGCGGGGAAACAGGACUGUUACUUUGAAAAAAUUAGAGCGUUUAAAGCAAGCUAACGCUUGAAUACAUUAGCAUGGAACAAUGAAAUAGGACGAUCGAUCCUAUUUUGUUGGUUUCUAGGAUUGACGUA
rnacentral:rRNA from 1 species